CAGCAGCGAGUAGGGUUUUCGAGUUUUCCUUUUCCCCGCCGUCCAUCUCUAUUUCACUGUAACCUGCAGCUCGCAGUUCCUCGCGACCACCACAAACUCCAAUCAUGGCCGUCGGGAAGAACAAGAGAAUUUCCAAGGGAAAGAAGGGAGGAAAGAAGAAGGCAGCUGAUCCAUUUUCAAAGAAGGAUUGGUAUGAUAUCAAGGCUCCUUCAGUUUUCUCGGU